UGGGGAAUAUUGCACAAUGGGCGCAAGCCUGAUGCAGCCAUGCCGCGUGUAUGAAGAAGGCCUUCGGGUUGUAAAGUACUUUCAGUCGGGAGGAAGGUGGUAAGGUUAAUAACCUUAUCAAUUGACGUUACCGACAGAAGAAGCACCGGCUAACUCCGUGCCAGCAGCCGCGGUAAUACGGAGGGUGCAAGCGUUAAUCGGAAUUACUGGGCGUAAAGCGCACGCAGGCGGUUGAUUGAGUCAGAUGUGAAAUCCCCGGGCUUAAACCGGGAAAUGCAUCUGAUACUGGUCAGCUAGAGUCUUGUAGAGGGGGGUAGAAUUCCAUGUGUAGCGGUGAAAUGCGUAGAUAUAUGGAGGAACACCAGUGGCGAAGGCGGCUCUCUGGUCUGUAACUGACGCUGAGGCUCGAAAGCGUGGGGAGCAAACAGG
rnacentral:rRNA from 1 species